UUGCGCAGUGUACCCUCCCUGUAUAAUGUAUAUUGCCGCCAAUUUCUCGGCAUUUCCAGCGGUUCAAACGUUUCUUCUGGGUUUUAGGCAAUUGCCUGGGUUUCCGUUAUUUGAAAAAAGGUGUUUAAUCGCCCGAUCAAUCUAGUGGAAGGGGUGAGUCGGCCAGUGAUUUCGAGAUGAGUGCGACACCUACGUGCAUCAACGUUUAGUGGACCUAAAGGACAUCGUCAGCACCGAGAUUUGCCAGCUGGAAACGCAGUGGGGCUACACGCAAUGGAGGCACGCGUACCACUCGUCCUAGACAAAGAAACGUCCUCCGUGCUUCCGACGAACUUCAAUCGGCGCGAAAUUCCUAAACCUCGAGUCACGAGUUCAUUCGGAGUAAAAAAGCAUGCCGAGGAAAAAUCACUGUUCGGGACGAAAAGAAGAGUUCAGUAAUUUAGAUAAAGCCGGCCGUCACAAAAUCAUAUUGUUCUUGUUUUUGCCCUCCUGCCAUGGAUUUCCUCGGCCUCCAAAGCGGGAUGCAGCUGCGACUGCUACUUCUAAAGUGUGUAAAAGUCAUGAACCUAUAGGACGAUAAGUCGUGAUCUCGAUUAACUUCGCCACGAGGUUGCGAACUUAAUGAAAAUGUUCCUGUCGGUGUUCUUGUUGUCCAUGAUCGGCCCGUUUUUUU
rnacentral:lncRNA from 1 species